rnacentral:rRNA from 1 species
AGGUGCUGCACGGCUGUCGUCAGCUCGUGUCGUGAGAUGUUGGGUUAAGUCCCGCAACGAGCGCAACCCUCGUGUCUAGUUACUAACAGUUCGGCUGAGGACUCUAGACAGACUGCCUUCGUAAGGAGGAGGAAGGUGAGGACGACGUCAAGUCAUCAUGGCCCUUACGGCUAGGGCGACACACGUGCUACAAUGGAUAGGACAAUGAGACGCAAUAUCGCGAGAUGGAGCAAAUCUAUAAACCUAUUCUCAGUUCGGAUUGUAGUCUGCAACUCGACUACAUGAAGCUGGAAUCACUAGUAAUCGUAGAUCAGCCAUGCUACGGUGAAUACGUUCCCGGGUCUUGUACUCACCGCCCGUCACACCAUGGGAGUUGAUUUCACCCGAAGCGGGGAAGCUAAAUUGGCUACCCUCCACGGUGGAGUUAGCGACUGGGGUGAAGUCGUAACAAGGUA